AUAUUUACCUAGCAGGGAGACACCAUGAUCACAAAGGUGCUUUCCCAGGGUGAGGCUCACCCAUUGCAGGUGUGCUGACCCCUGCAAUUUUCCCCCAUGCAGGAAACUCUACUAGCAGGUCCUGGGGCAGUGCAGGGACAAGUGUGUAAACAUCUGUC